UACACCACUUGUUAAACCUGAAACGUAAAUAAACAACCCCUACUUGAAAUUUUAAACAGCGAACUUCUGAUUGCAGUUCUUUGCAGUUGCCACAUGUAAGGUUGUCCAAAGUUGUUUCAGUUUCUUCUUUUUUUUUAGGUAGUAGAGCACAAUACUUAGUCGUAUAAGUGUGGUCAUGAAAUGUACCGACUGUUUUGAAAUGAACACA